GAUGAACGCUAGCUACAGGCUUAACACAUGCAAGUCGAGGGGCAGCAUGUCAGUGGCUUGCCACUGAUGAUGGCGACCGGCGCACUGGUGAGUAACACGUAUGCGACCUGCCCCGGACAGGGGGAUAAACCCGGGAAACUGGGUCUAAUACCCCAUAUGCCCUGAGGACGCAUGUCCUUAGGGUGAAAGAUCCGUCGGUCCGGGAUGGGCAUGCGGCGCAUUAGCUUGUUGGCGGGGUAACGGCCCACCAAGGCGACGAUGCGUAGGGGUUCUGAGAGGAAGGUCCCCCACACUGGUACUGAGACACGGACCAGACUCC
rnacentral:rRNA from 1 species